rnacentral:rRNA from 1 species
GAUGAACGCUGGCGGCGUGCCUAAUACAUGCAAGUCGAGCGAACGGACGAGAAGCUUGCUUCUCUGAUGUUAGCGGCGGACGGGUGAGUAACACGUGGAUAACCUACCUAUAAGACUGGGAUAACUUCGGGAAACCGGAGCUAAUACCGGAUAAUAUUUUGAACCGCAUGGUUCAAAAGUGAAAGACGGUCUUGCUGUCACUUAUAGAUGGAUCCGCGCUGCAUUAGCUAGUUGGUAAGGUAACGGCUUACCAAGGCAACGAUGCAUAGCCGACCUGAGAGGGUGAUCGGCCACACUGGAACUGAGACACGGUCCAGACUCCUACGGGAGGCAGCAGUAGGGAAUCUUCCGCAAUGGGCGAAAGCCUGACGGAGCAACGCCGCGUGAGUGAUGAAGGUCUUCGGAUCGUAAAACUCUGUUAUUAGGGAAGAACAUAUGUGUAAGUAACUGUGCACAUCUUGACGGUACCUAAUCAGAAAGCCACGGCUAACUACGUGCCACCAGCCGCGGUAAUACGUAGGUGGCAAGCGUUAUCCGGAAUUAUUGGGCGUAAAGCGCGCGUAGGCGGUUUUUUAAGUCUGAUGUGAAAGCCCACGGCUCAACCGUGGAGGGUCAUUGGAAACUGGAAAACUUGAGUGCAGAAGAGGAAAGUGGAAUUCCAUGUGUAGCGGUGAAAUGCGCAGAGAUAUGGAGGAACACCAGUGGCGAAGGCGACUUUCUGGUCUGUAACUGACGCUGAUGUGCGAAAGCGUGGGGAUCAAACAGGAUUAGAUACCCUGGUAGUCCACGCCGUAAACGAUGAGUGCUAAGUGUUAGGGGGUUUCCGCCCCUUAGUGCUGCAGCUAACGCAUUAAGCACUCCGCCUGGGGAGUACGACCGCAAGGUUGAAACUCAAAGGAAUUGACGGGGACCCGCACAAGCGGUGGAGCAUGUGGUUUAAUUCGAAGCAACGCGAAGAACCUUACCAAAUCUUGACAUCCUUUGACAACUCUAGAGAUAGAGCUUUCCCCUUCGGGGGACAAAGUGACAGGUGGUGCAUGGUUGUCGUCAGCUCGUGUCGUGAGAUGUUGGGUUAAGUCCCGCAACGAGCGCAACCCUUAAGCUUAGUUGCCAUCAUUAAGUUGGGCACUCUAAGUUGACUGCCGGUGACAAACCGGAGGAAGGUGGGGAUGACGUCAAAUCAUCAUGCCCCUUAGGAUUUGGGCUACACACGUGCUACAAUGGACAAUACAAAGGGCAGCGAAACCGCGAGGUCAAGCAAAUCCCAUAAAGUUGUUCUCAGUUCGGAUUGUAGUCUGCAACUCGACUACAUGAAGCUGGAAUCGCUAGUAAUCGUAGAUCAGCAUGCUACGGUGAAUACGUUCCCGGGUCU